rnacentral:rRNA from 1 species
AGAGUUUGAUCAUGGCUCAGGACGAACGCUGGCGGCGUGCUUAACACAUGCAAGUCGAACGGAAAGGCCCUUCGGGGUACUCGAGUGGCGAACGGGUGAGUAACACGUGGGUGAUCUGCCCUGCACUCUGGGAUAAGCCUGGGAAACUGGGUCUAAUACCGGAUAGGACCGCAUGCUUCAUGGUGUGUGGUGCAAAGCUUUUGCGGUGUGGGAUGAGCCCGCGGCCUAUCAGCUUGUUGGUGGGGUAAUGGCCUACCAAGGCGACGACGGGUAGCCGGCCUGAGAGGGUGACCGGCCACACUGGGACUGAGAUACGGCCCAGACUCCUGCGGGAGGCAGCAGUGGGGAAUAUUGCACAAUGGGCGCAAGCCUGAUGCAGCGACGCCGCGUGAGGGAUGACGGCCUUCGGGUUGUAAACCUCUUUCAAUAGGGACGAAGCGCAAGUGACGGUACCUAUAGAAGAAGGACCGGCCAACUACGUGCCAGCAGCCGCGGUAAUACGUAGGGUCCGAGCGUUGUCCGGAAUUACUGGGCGUAAAGAGCUCGUAGGUGGUUUGUCGCGUUGUUCGUGAAAACUCACAGCUUAACUGUGGGCGUGCGGGCGAUACGGGCAGACUAGAGUACUGCAGGGGAGACUGGAAUUCCUGGUGUAGCGGUGGAAUGCGCAGAUAUCAGGAGGAACACCGGUGGCGAAGGCGGGUCUCUGGGCAGUAACUGACGCUGAGGAGCGAAAGCGUGGGGAGCGAACAGGAUUAGAUACCCUGGUAGUCCAA